rnacentral:rRNA from 1 species
UACAGAGGGGGCAAGCGUUGUUCGGAAUUACUGGGCGUAAAGGGCGCGUAGCGGCCGCCUAAGUCAGACGUGAAACUCCCUCGGCUCAACCGGGGAACUGCUGUCUGAUACUGGGUGGCUUGGAAUUCGGGAGAGGGAUGGCGGAAUUCCAGGUGUAGCGGUGAAAUGACGUAGAUAAUCUGGAGGAACACCGGGUGGCGA